rnacentral:rRNA from 1 species
UAGUAUACGCUUGUCUCAAAGAUUAAGCCAUGCAUGUAUAAGUAUAAACACCUUUAUACAGUGAAACUGCGUACGGCUCAUUAAAUCAGUUAUCAUUUCUUUGAAAGUGCAACUCUACAUGGAUACCCGUAGCAAAUCUAGAGCUAAUACAUGCGUAGAACCUCGACUUUUUGGAAGAGGUGUGUUUAUUAGAUUCGAGCCCUCCCAGCAAUGGGUUGUUGGUGAUUCAUAGUAACCUUUCGGAUCGUUCUGCAAAGAGCGAUGGUUCAUUCAAAUUU